CGAAGAAGAAGAAGAAAAAAAAGAAGAAGAAUUGAAACAUCCCCUACCGGGAGAAACCAAAUUAUGGCGCGGAACCUGUGGCCAAAACCAUGAACUUGGUGUUUCAAAUGAACAAAACAAAGGCUAAACAUUUCUUUUUACCUCCUUUUCUCACCAAUUUCGUGGUAUCCAAUAGUAUCCUUUGCUUUCACUGCUUGGUGGCACAACACGAACUCAACAAACACUCAAUUCGUAUUUUGGACAGGAUAUGCAUAUGGACAAUGAGACAGGACUACAGAUUUAGCCCCAGCCACAUCACCACCCCUUACGAGUUUGAGAACUGUCAGAACACAGCUGACACGAAGGAAUGUUGUCCACAAAAGGAGUUGCGGCAACCACCGCAGUAGGAAUGCUGUGAUCCAAAAUCAGCUUUCCCAAGGAAAAGAAGUGGGAGUAUGCUGUGAAGUCUGUGAUGACAGACCCAACAUACUGCUAUGUAGCCCGGCUCCUGGAUCUCCUCUUCAACGAGGUCACCCUUGAUCCGGCAACGUAUGUGGGGAAGCUGUGUGAGCUGUCCAUCCCAGGACCCCUGUCUGCCCAGUGUGAGAGGCCUGAGCUGUCCAUCCCAGGACCCCUGUCUGCCCAGUGUGAGAGGCCUGAGCUGUCCAUCCCAGGACCCCUGUCUGCCCAGUGUGAGAGGCCUGAGGCCAUAGCUGGAUUUGUCUCCCGCUUCAAUCUUGGGGGUGAAGCCUGCUUGAUUGAAGCGGGGUACAUGGGUCCCUCUCCUCUCCCGAUCAAUCUCUGUAGUUGGUUGCAUUUCCUAAAGCCUAAGUAAUUCACUUUUACGUGAUAUAUUACAUUUAGUUACUUUCUAUUGCAUUUUUCAAGCAUUCGGACGGGAGAUGAGUAUUAUACAAAUCAAUGGGGUCCACAACACUCAUUGGU